AGAGUUUGAUCAUGGCUCAGAACGAACGCUGGCGGCGUGGAUAAGACAUGCAAGUCGAACGCUGAUUUGAGGGUAGCAAUAUUUUCAAGUCGGAGUGGCGAAAGGGUGCGUAACACGUGGGCAAUCUGCCAUGAAGUUGGGGAUAACUUGCUGAAAGGCGAGCUAAUACCGGAUGUGGAUCUCGGGAGGCAUCUCUUGGGAUCUAAAGUUGGGGACCGUAAGGCCUGACGCUUCAUGAUGAGCCCGCGGCCUAUCAGCUAGUUGGUGAGGUAACGGCUCACCAAGGCUAAGACGGGUAGCUGGUCUGAGAGGACGACCAGCCACACUGGAACUGAGACACGGUCCAGACACCUACGGGUGGCAGCAGUCGAGAAUUUUUCUCAAUGGGCGAAAGCCUGAAGGAGCGACGCCGCGUGGGGGAUGAAUGGCUUCGGCCCGUAAACCCCUGUCAUUUGCGAACAAACCUCGUUAUUUAAAAGAUGACGAGCUGAUGUAGCGAAAGAGAAGACGCCCCCCCC
rnacentral:rRNA from 1 species